rnacentral:rRNA from 1 species
GUCUAUGGCCAUGCCACCUUGAACAAGCCAGAUCCAGUCUAAUCUCAGAAGCUAAGUAGAGUUGGGCCUGGUUAGUACUUGGAUGGGAGACCACCUAGGAAGACCAGGUGCUAUAGGCA